AAGGAAGACUGAUAAAGGUUGACUCCCCGGUAUUUGUCCUGCACCGUUCCCUGCAGUGGUUUUUCGCCUCAGUUCCCCCUCAGCCCCUUCCUACUCCCCCACCCCCCCGUCUGAAGACUAGAAAAAAGCACUAAGAAAAAAAUAUAAAUAGUAGUAACUAAUAUUUCCACCAUCCAGAAAAUGUUCACUUUUGCUUCAAGUCACAAUCCUCCAGAAUUUCUUAGAAGAACUAACUUCAAAUCUCUAGCAUUAAGGCGCGCCCUUAAUGGUUUGGGGGAUUCCCUUGUAGAUUGUGUGAGCUUCCAAAAACAAAGCAAACAAAAGACAAAAAAGACUUGGCUCUCUGUUCUUACUGUCUGCAUGAACACCCACCCACUGUUUCCUUUUCACAGUGAACAGGGUCUAAUAUUCAUCACAUUACAAACUACAGCUCUUCAAUUAAGUGAUUCAAUCACUCUGUUUUGGUCAUUAUGCAAAAUUGACAGAAAAUUUUCCUCUUGCUCGCAGAAAUUGCUGAUAUUCCUCUGGGAGAACUAAAUAAAGGUACGGUACUAAGAGGAAUGUUAAGAAACCUGACAAAUGAGUACAACAGACAGCAAAAGUCAGCACAUGUUCAAAGGAAAGUACUGCAAGCUGUCACUGUAUUUUCAAAAAUUCCCUUCUCGGAUGAUUAAUAAAAUGCUCAUGUACUUUCUAA